rnacentral:rRNA from 1 species
UACGGGGGGAGCAAGCGUUGUUCGGAUUUACUGGGCGUAAAGGGCGCGUAGGCGGCCACCGCAAGUCGACUGUGAAAUCUCCGGGCUUAACCCGGAAAGGUCAGCCGAUACUGCGGGGCUAGAGUGCAGAAGGGGCAACUGGAAUUCUCGGUGUAGCGGUGAAAUGCGUAGAUAUCGGGAGGAACACCCGUGGCGAAGGCGGCUCUCUGGACCAUAACUGACACUGAGGCACGAAAGCCGGGGGAGCAAACAGG